AAAAGAUUGUUAGGAUGCUGUCUUAGUCCUUCUGGGUUGCUAUAACAAAACAUCACAGACUUAAAAACAAUGGAAAUGGAUUUCCACAGCAUGGUCAUGCAGGGUCCUUUCUGGUCACACACUUCUUACUGUAUCCUCACACAGGGGAGGGCUUGGGAGCUCUGUGUGUCUCUUAUAUAUAAAAGCACUCAUCUCAUUGAAGAGGCUCCACCCUUAUAACUCCAUCACCUCACAAAGGCACCACCUAGGGUUACCAUAACCAUGGGAAUCAGGAUUUCAUCAUAUGAAAUUUCUGGGGGAAACAAAGGCUGAGACCAUAGCAGAUACAAAGGUGAACUGGCUCAUCCUCCUCCAGGGGCUGUCGUCACCCACACUCCACUGCAUCCUCAUCUCCUGCAUCACCUUGCAGCCAUUCCACACAUUCCAUCACUCUGGGUUUCCCAAGUCCAGAUUUCCAUGUAAGAUUACAUUUGAAGAAAUGGCCCUGCUAUAUCAAGAACAGUAGCAGUGGUUACCCAAUGGAAACAAACAAAUGAAGAACCUUUGAAGUUCACUGACCUUAUAGAUUAGUAAAUCACAUGUCAUGGAUACAAUGAGGACUUAAACUGAGGUUUUAAAAGUCUCUAUUUUCCAGAAGCAGGGCCGCAAUUUGUGGAGAAGGAGAGGGUGAUAUAAACACACAAACAGCCGUAUUACAUGGUAGAGUGAAGAAGAAUAAGAUGUGAUGCCACCACGAGGCUACAGUGGAUUGAAGUACAGCUAGGAGCCAUCUGUGUCAUAGGAGUGAUGCUGAUGGGAUGGCUUUAUGAUGGAGUUUUGAAAGGUUGAUGGGAUAUUGAUGUGAAAAAAUAGGAAAGCUAUAUAUCUGUCAAUUCAUUUAGGAUCAUCUUAUGAAGUAAGGAUCUGCAACAUCUUAGAUCAAGGCAACUGAGAUAUUAAUACAUAUAACAUUAUAAGGUAUCAGUGAAUAAUCAAGUCUGACAACAACACAAGAAAUUUUCAUUUUUUACCAUUCAUGUUGUAUCUCUCAUGAUUAUGCUUCCAUGAUAUACUGUAU
ensembl:lncRNA